CCGCUGAACUUAAGCAUAUCAAUAAGCGGAGGAAAAGAAACUAACAAGGAUUCCCCUAGUAACGGCGAGUGAAGAGGGAAGAGCUCAAAUUUUAAAUCUGCCUUGUUUCAAGGUCGAGUUGUAAUUUGAAGAAGCGUUUUCUUGGGCUCGCGGCCGGUAGAAGUUCCUUGGAACAGGGCAUCAUAGAGGGUGACAAUCCCGUCUGUGACCGGUCGUGCGUUCAUCUACGAUACGCUUUCAAAGAGUCGAGUUGUUUGGGAAUGCAGCU
rnacentral:rRNA from 1 species